AGCCCUGUAGUGUAGUGGCCAAUCAUAUAACGCUCUGGCCGUUAUGACCCAGGUUCGAAUCCUGGCGGGGCUA
rnacentral:tRNA from 1 species